rnacentral:rRNA from 1 species
UACGGGGGGGGCAAGCGUUGUUCGGAAUUACUGGGCGUAAAGGGUUCGUAGGUGGCUUGCUAAGUCAGACGUGAAAUCCCUCAGCUUAACUGGGGAACUGCGUCUGAGACUGGCGGGCUCGAGUGCAGGAGAGGAACGCGGAAUUCCAGGUGUAGCGGUGAAAUGCGCAGAUAUCAGGAGGAACACCGGUGGCGAAGGCGGUUCUCUGGGCCUUACCUGACGCUGAGGAGCGAAAGCAUGGGGAGCAAACAGG